rnacentral:rRNA from 1 species
UACGGGGGGGGGCAAGCGUUGUUCGGAAUUACUGGGCGUAAAGGGCUCGUAGGUGGCCAACUAAGUCAGACGUGAAAUCCCUCAGCUUAACUGGGGAACUGCGUGUGAUACUGGAUGGCUUGGAUUUGGGAGAGGGAUGCGGAAUUCCAGGUGUAGCGGUGAAAUGCGUAGAUAUCUGGAGGAACACCGGUGGCGAAGGCGGCAUCCUGGACCAACACUGACGCUGAGGAGCGAAAGCCAGGGGAGCAAAGCGGG